AAAUUGAAGAGUUUGAUCAUGGCUCAGAUUGAACGCUGGCGGCAGGCCUAACACAUGCAAGUCGAACGGUAACAGGAAGCAGCUUGCUGCUUUGCUGACGAGUGGCGGACGGGUGAGUAAUGUCUGGGAAACUGCCUGAUGGAGGGGGAUAACUACUGGAAACGGUAGCUAAUACCGCAUAACGUCGCAAGACCAAAGAGGGGGACCUUAGGGCCUCUUGCCAUCGGAUGUGCCCAGAUGGGAUUAGCUAGUAGGUGGGGUA
rnacentral:rRNA from 1 species